rnacentral:rRNA from 1 species
GAUGAACGCUGACAGAAUGCUUAACACAUGCAAGUCAACUUGGACUUCGGUUUGGGUGGCGGACGAGUGAGUAACGCGUAAAGAACUUGCCUCACAGAUAGGGACAACAUUUGGAAACGAAUGCUAAUACCUGAUAUUAUGAUUUUAGGGCAUCCUAGAAUUAUGAAAGCUAUAUGCGCUGUGAGAGAGCUUUGCGUCCCAUUAGCUAGUUGGAGAGGUAACGGCUCACCAAGGCGAUGAUGGGUAGCCGGCCUGAGAGGGUGAUCGGCCACAAGGGGACUGAGACACGGCCCUUACUCCUACGGGAGGCAGCAGUGGGGAAUAUUGGACAAUGGACCAAGAGUCUGAUCCAGCAAUUCUGUGUGCACGAUGAAGUUUUUCGGAAUGUAAAGUGCUUUCAGUUGGGAAGAAAAAAAUGACGGUACCAACAGAAGAAGUGACGGCUAAAUACGUGCCAGCAGCCGCGGUAAUACGUAUGUCACAAGCGUUAUCCGGAUUUAUUGGGCGUAAAGCGCGUCUAGGUGGUUAUAUAAGUCUGAUGUGAAAAUGCAGGGCUCAACUCUGUAUUGCGUUGGAAACUGUGUAACUAGAGUACUGGAGAGGUAAGCGGAACUACAAGUGUAGAGGUGAAAUUCGUAGAUAUUUGUAGGAAUGCCGAUGGGGAAGCCAGCUUACUGGACAGAUACUGACGCUGAAGCGCGAAAGCGUGGGGAGCAAACAGG